GGGGAAUAUUGGACAAUGGGCGAAAGCCUGAUCCAGCCAUGUCGCGUGUGUGAAGAAGGCCUUUUGGUUGUAAAGCACUUUAAGUGGGGAGGAAAAGCUUGUGGUUAAUACCCAUAAGCCCUGACGUUACCCACAGAAUAAGCACCGGCUAACUCUGUGCCAGCAGCCGCGGUAAUACAGAGGGUGCAAGCGUUAAUCGGAAUUACUGGGCGUAAAGCGCGCGUAGGUGGUUAUUUAAGUCAGAUGUGAAAGCCCCGGGCUUAACCUGGGAACUGCAUCUGAUACUGGAUAACUAGAGUAGGUGAGAGGGGAGUAGAAUUCCAGGUGUAGCGGUGAAAUGCGUAGAGAUCUGGAGGAAUACCGAUGGCGAAGGCAGCUCCCUGGCAUCAUACUGACACUGAGGUGCGAAAGCGUGGGUAGCAAACAGGAUUAGAUACCCUGGUAGUCCACGCCGUAAACGAUGUCUACCAGUCGUUGGGUCUUUUAAAGACUUAGUGACGCAGUUAACGCAAUAAGUAGACCGCCUGGGGAGUACGGCCGCAAGGUUA
rnacentral:rRNA from 1 species